CUCCGCUAAGACUCCCUUUGAAGAGGCUUUCCCAGUUGCCUGGGGAGGGAGGGCAGGCAGCUAGUGUCUGUGCCUGAGGCCACCCUGUCACCCUGCCAUCCUCCCACCAUCCAUCACAGCUUGCCACCGUUCGGGUAAACUUGGACACACGCUUUGUGUAUUUCCAUAAUGUUGUCAGCUGCCCAUAUAGCAUCGAGAAUAUAUUUCCCCAUUUUAGAGUGCUGGUAACUCAAUUUAUAGCAAUUUAUUCCACAAAAGCAGACAGUAACUCAACUGGCAAGAGGAAAAAAAAUCCUACCAACCCACCACUGUCUCUCUGCGCUGGAAAUCAAAAUGGUAAUGCAUGGAAUAGAUUUCUGCAAGUAAUAGGCUUGGUCGGCAGACGUGUGAGCUGAGUUAAAUGCCUUUUAAGUAAAUCUCCAUGUGAGUUAUCUGUUCACUCAGACGUGCAUGCGUGGAGACAAGGAGGCUGUGUGGACGGUCGGCACGCGCUGUAACUUCCAUUAUCCCACACUGGGAUGCGUUGUUAAUAACCACAGCCGAGGGGACUGCAGAUUUCCCCAUCACUGCCAGCUGGCUACCAGUGUGAUGUUGAGGGAUUCAUUCGUUCAUUCAUUCGUUUGUUCAUUCACCAAGCCUUUGUGAGACCCAGGGUGCACCAGGCUGCAUGCCAAGCGUUGGAGGUGCAGAAACACAGAGAUGGAACCCGACCAGACCCCAGCACAGAAGAGCUCACAGUCUGCAGGGGGAGACAGAGGCACAAACAGCAGUGACAUGAAUGAAACACAAAAAAGAAGACUGCACAAGCUAACAGGACCGGAUAACAAGCUGAUUGUAGAUCAGUGAACCUCAGGAAUGCCCUCAGCAGCUCGGGGUUACAAUAUGGCAAGCUAAUUCUAUGGAAUAAUCAUCUUGGCAAGACAAGUGUGUUUUGAAGGUACCAUUGCCGAUGGACUGAUGUUAGGGUUUCCUACAAUGUUAAAAAAAAUCAUAACUUAUAUAAAUUGUAGGCCACCUUGUGUCUAGUCUCAACAUGAAUCUCAUGCAAAGAACUAUCAGUCCAGAAUCCAAAAGUAACUGAAAAGCAUUUAUUUAGCACUUACCAUGUGCCAAGCUCUGUGUUAAUCACGACAGAUCCUGGGAAGAAUGGAAAACCUCUUUCUCAAGAACCUCAGUCUGGUGAGGGAAUCAGACCUGAAGAUAAAUAAUUGCAAUACCUUGUGAUACAUAGUAUAAUAAUCAUCUGCAUCAGGCACAAUGGGAGCUCCAGAGAUGGAGGAUCGAUUCUUCUUAGCAGAUGGGGUCAGGGAACUCCUCCCUGAAGAAUUGACACUUGAGCUGAGUUUUAGAGGUGAACCAGAUAUGGCGUUGAGGAAGGUAUUGGAAGAAAUCCCCAGGUAAAGGUGCAGACAAUGCAAACAUUUGGACGGGGCACAAAGAAGCAUCAUGUGCCUGGGGAACUAGAUGUGGUUUUGGAUGGCAGUGCUAAGGCAUGUGGGUAGGAAAGCAGCGCACUGGAGAAGGAGGCAGGGACCUUUCAGGACAGCCCCAUCAUUGGCUCAGAACCACUUGUGUCUCAACACACUUUCACUCAAUCUUCUGUGUUUCAUGUGGAGUUCUUGGCUUUAAGGGGAUAAGAAAAGGGUGGCCAGAUUUUAAAAAGUCAUUCAAAAAUUGGAAUAUGCUUGAAAGUUGAGAUAUACUGCAAUGAAUUUUCAUAUAUUCAUCACUCAGAUUCAACAAUUACCAUGUUUUUGCACAUUUACUCUAUUCUUUUUUUCCCCUAUUUUCUGUCUGAAAUAUUUGAAAGCAAGCUUCAGACAUCAUGGAAUUUCAUUUCAACAUCCCAGUACUGUUUUAUGUAUUUCUAAAAAAUGGUUUUUUUCUUAUAUAAUCACAAUGCCUUUAACACACAACAAAAUUAACACUAUUUUUGUCAUAUCACCUAACGUAUAAUUUAUAUUAAAAAUAUUCAAAGUGCCUUGAAAGUAUUUUUAGGAGGUGGGUUGUUUGACCUGGGAUCCAGGCAAAGUUGGUGGGAUGAUUUUAAUCUGAAGACUUUGCUCAAUAAAUGUUAUCAGUAAGGGUGUUAAUGGGCAGGCUUGUAGGGUGGCUGUAAUAAUCCCCACCUCCUGGCACACAUGCCCAUGUGUGAUUCCUCCACGUGAGUGGAAGGUUAGAGGUAUGACUGCCUCUAACCAAUGGAAUAUGGGAAAGGUGAAGGGAUGUCACCUCUGUGAAUAUGUUCUGGAAGAUUCUGACUUCUGUUGUACUGAACGAUUCCCUCUUGCUGGUUUUGAUGCAGCAGCUGCUGUGCUGUGAGCUGUUCUGUGGAGCAGCUCUCUUGACAAGGAACUGAGGGCAGCUUCCAGCCAACAGUCAGCAAGGACCCCAAAGGUGUAACAACCAGAGUUCUUUCAGACAAGACCCCAGAUCCAAUGGAUACCUUGACUGGAGCCUUUUGAGAGAUCCUGAAGCAUAAGACCCACCUGUGUUGUGUCUAGGUUCUUGGCCUCCAGAAACUGAGAUA